rnacentral:lncRNA from 1 species
UGUUGGAGCUGAGAGCAACUAACAGCAAGUUUCAGCAAGAAACUUGAGUAGCAAGUGUCGUGACUUGCAGCAAAAACAAGCAGAAAACAAAGUAGAAUUUUUAAAGUAAAGCAAAAAAAAUGAAGAAAGUUUUUGAAUGAAAACUUGAUUACAUUCAUUCAUCAUCAGAAUGGCUUGAAGCCAAUACAUAAAUCAAGCUUCUAGCUUGUCAAAAUAGUAGGUUAACCAAAACAAUACCUACCACCACUAAGUUUCCUAGUAAAUUGGAAUAAUAACUUGUACAAAUGAAUAAAG